GAUGAACGCUGGCGGCGUGCCUAAUACAUGCAAGUCGAGCGAACGGACGAGAAGCUUGCUUCUCUGAUGUUAGCGGCGGACGGGUGAGUAACACGUGGAUAACCUACCUAUAAGACUGGGAUAACUUCGGGAAACCGGAGCUAAUACCGGAUAAUAUUUUGAACCGCAUGGUUCAAAAGUGAAAGACGGUCUUGCUGUCACUUAUAGAUGGAUCCGCGCUGCAUUAGCUAGUUGGUAAGGUAACGGCUUACCAAGGCAACGAUGCAUAGCCGACCUGAGAGGGGGAUCGGCCACAAUGGAACGAGGACACGGUCCAGACUCCUACGGGAGGCAGCAGUAGGGGAUCUUCCGCAAUGGGCGAAAGCAUGACGGAGCAACGCCGCGUGAGUGAUGAAGGUCUUCGGAUCGUAAAACUCUGUUAUUAGGGAAGAACAUAUGUGUAAGUAACUGUGCACAUCUUGACGGUACCUAAUCAGAAAGCCACGGCUAACUACGUG
rnacentral:rRNA from 1 species